UACGAAGGGGGCUAGCGUUGCUCGGAAUCACUGGGCGUAAAGCGCUCGUAGGCGGAUUGCUAAGUCAGGGGUGAAAUCCUGGAGCUCAACUCCAGAACUGCCUUUGAUACUGGCGAUCUCGAGUCCGGGAGAGGUGAGUGGAACUGCGAGUGUAGAGGUGAAAUUCGUAGAUAUUCGCAAGAACACCAGUGGCGAAGGCGGCUCACUGGCCCGGUACUGACGCUGAGGUGCGAAAGCGUGGGGAGCAAACAGG
rnacentral:rRNA from 1 species